ACUCCUACGGGAGGCAGCAGUGAGGAAUAUUGGUCAAUGGAGGGAACUCUGAACCAGCCAUCCCGCGUGUAGGAAGACGGCCUUAUGGGUUGUAAACUACUUUUAUACAGGAAGAAACGUACCCUCGUGAGGGUGCCUGACGGUACUGUAGGAAUAAGCACCGGCUAACUCCGUGCCAGCAGCCGCGGUAAUACGGAGGGGUGCGAGCGUUAUCCGGAUUUAUUGGGGUUUAAAGGGUCCGUAGGCGGAUUAAUAAGUCAGUGGUGAAAUCCCAUCGCUUAACGAUGGAACUGCCAUUGAUACUGUUAGUCUUGAAUGAGGGUGCAGUGGUUGGAAUGUGUAGUGUAGCGGUGAAAUGCAUAGAUAUUACACAGAACACCGAUUGCGAAGGCAGAUCACUAACCCUAAAUUGACGCUGAGGGACGAAAGCGUGGGGAGCGAACAGGAUUAGAUACCCUGGUAGGUCAGUC
rnacentral:rRNA from 1 species